rnacentral:lncRNA from 1 species
AUGUGUCUUCCUCCUUCCUUUUCUCUUUCCAUUUACUCAGCAUUACGUGAGUCGGCUGUUAAGCACCUGAACAGAGGAAGAAAUUGUUUACGGGCACCCCACUGGGAUGAGUCUAGACCAAGAGAAAAUAGCCAACAUAGCAAAGAAGUGUUUCCAGCAUUUAUUAAGAUCUACUUUGAGGCAGUAAAAAUGCUAAGAUACCACUUUGAAAAAAGCCCCUAUCAGAACAACAUGAAUCCUGAUAAAAUUGAAUCGAGAACAAACAGCAAAUUUAUGGUGCAGCCUGGGUGGAAACAUGAUGAGUAAUUGAUGCUUUAUAUAAAGUUUAUGGGGGCAAUGUCCCAAAAAAGUCAACAGUUUACAGACAGAUAACUCAUUUUAAGAAGGAACAAGACCAUGUUGAAGAUCAAUUUGUGAGGAAAAAAAUUAAUGUGGCUUAUGACCUAAAUGAAGAGGACCAAUGAUUAAUAGCAAAAACACCAGCCAAUAUCACAGACAUCUCAGUGGUUCUGUGUACUCAAUUCUGCCUGAAAACCUAAGUUUAACAAACUUUCCAUUUGAUGAAUGCCAAAACCAUUGGGCCCAGAGUAGCUGCAGAGAAGAGCAGAGCUUUCAAUGGAAAUUUUGAGUAAGUAAGAUCAAGAGCCUGAAGCAUUUCUUCAAAGAAUUGGAGCAGGAGAUGAAACAUGACUUUACCAGUACGAUUCCACAGACAAGACACAACCAAAGCAAUGGCUACCAAGAGGUGGAAGUGGUUCAGUCACAGCAAAAGUGGACCAAUCAAGAGGAAAUGUCAUCAUGGCAACAGGCUUUUGGGAUGCUCUAGGCAUUUUGCUUGUUAACUUUCAGGAGUGCCAAAAAUGAUAACAUCUCCUUAUAAUGAGAGUGUUUUGAGAAAGGCAGAGCUUUAGCAGAGAAAUGCCCAAGAAAACUUUACCAGACAGUCCUUCUCCACCAUGACAAUGCUCCUGUUCAUUCCUUUCAUCAAACAAAAACCAUUUUUUAAGAGUUUCAAUGAGAAAUCAUUAGGCAUCCACCCGACAGUCCUGAUUUGGCUCAUUCUGAUUUCUUUUUGUGUCCUAAUCUUAAAAAUUCUCUAAAGAGCACCAUUUUUCUUUAGUUUUUAAUGUAAAAGGGACUGCAGUGACAUGAUUAAAUUCCUAGGACCCUUGGUUCUUUAGGGAUGAACUCAAUGGCUGGUAUCAUCAUUUACAAGUGUUUUGACCUUGAUGGAGCUUAUGUUGGGAAAUGAAGUUUGUACUUUUUAUUUUUGUCUUUUCCUUCAAUUAUUCUGUGAACUUUUUGAAGUCCUCUCGUAUUUAUUGGCAGUUGCUGUGGGAGAGCUGCUGGAAAUGAACUGGAGGGGCAGGUGCUCCAGAAGUUGAGAGCAGGACUCAAGGGAGAACCUUGAACUGAAAGGGCUCUAAGUGCCACAGCAAGUGAUGGAAACUGCAGCUUAGCUUGAGCCAGAGCAGCAGCUUCCUACUGAGACUCAGUCACAUGAAGAACCCAUUCUGCUCCCAGCUGAGAACCCCAGGGCCACCAGGGCUUUGCUGUUUCUGACAUGGCUGCCUGCUCAGGACCACUGCUGAGACUUGCCUCCAAUCUACUGUGUCUAACCUCUGGGCUGUUUUUCUUCAACAUUUCAGGCCAUUUCACUGACAUUUGAGUAAACGAUUGAUCACUUUAAAGCAAGGAACAAAUAAACUUGCUGGGCAAUCAGACCUCCUUCCAGCCACACAUUUUUGUGCAGUGGAUGGAUACAAUCUCACCAGCAUAUGAUGGUUUGUAUUUUCUGUGCCGUGACAGGCAGACCAAUCCUACUGAUUUAUCAGGGCUGCAGUUAAAGACUGAGCAGAAAUGCUCUAGGAUUAUGGAGUGGACAUUGGUCCCUUAUCAAGGGCUGAGACUUCCCAUAUAGGCAGAGUGGUAGCUCUAGGGGCAAGAGCUGAGGUGGGAGAAGGAAAGUGUGAACUGGAUUGGAGGCUAAAUGCUCCAGCAAAGGUUAGAACCUGGCACUUACUUGUUUUACAUACUGAAAAUGAAAACAAUAUCUUACUCAUGAAUAGUGAAUAGCUGCAAAUUACCAGCAGCACCACAUUUGUUAACACCUAUGUGCCAGGCAUUGUGCUAGGUGUUUGACCACUUUGGCUCCUUUAUUCCUAUGUUGGUUUUUCUCUCUGUUUCAUUGAGGAGAAACUGGAGGCUCAGAGAGGAUUAAAGAUAGGUCUACUUAUGUUCUUGCACAUGAGCCUUAGGUUUGUUAUUGCCUAUUUUAUGAUUGUUGCAUGAAUACGCUUAAGAACAGUUCAAGGUGUUUUCCAUCAAUAGCUGCUGCUUACCAAAAUCCUUGUUCCUCUUUUCUUCUUGGACACACUGCUCGAUUACAUUUCCCAGCCUUUCUUGCAGCUGGAUGUGGCCAUGUGACUGAGUUCUAUAGCGUGCAAGGUAAGUAGAAGUGAUACACAUCACUCCAGGUGCUUUUCUCCUUGUAGUUGGUUGUGACGAGGGACUUUCCCUGGGGUUAUAGAAACCACAUGUUGAAGAUGGAAGAUUCUUUGUCAGUGCUGUGUGGAACAGGAAAACACCUCCUUGCGCCCACUCCACAAUUCUUUCAUCUGCCUUUACUGGUUUGUAAACAACAUGUAAAUUUUUAUUGUGUUUAGCCACCAUGUAUUUUUGGAUUUUUUUUUAACUGAUAUUAGGUUACCCGAAUAAUAGCAAAUGUCAACUCUUAACAACUCAAGAGGACUCAGCAGGGAUGCUCCAACUACAGGUUGGAAGUAGGUCGAAGGGAUUUGCAGUCAGAAGCAAGUCAUUUCCUUAGGCCUGCAAAGGGUGGGUGUCCUCCCUUGGGUGUGUUUAUUGGAGGUUCCAGGGCACUGCAAAACUUAAUGUAUUCUAAGUUACAGAGCAAGUUUCUGAAGUUCCUGUUCAGAGAUCAGCCUAUUGUUUUUUCACAUAAGAAAACUUUCCCAGCAAUAAUAACUGUUAGAUUUCUAUUCCUGUUUAAGGAAUCAUCACCUUUGGUGGUGGCUGGAACUGAGUUAUACUAGGUCAUGAUAAUCACAGUUUAAUUUAGGUCUAGAAGAUCCCAGGACUUUGUCUGACUCUGUCUUUUGAAAAACUUUCUGAGGUAUUGAAAUGGAGUCAGGAGACAGUUGGUGUCUGUGAGAUCUGUUGUUGCUCUGGUAGAUUGACAGGUUUACCCAGAAGGUGAUGCUAUUAAUGAAUUUGUGGGUUGCCAUGAUAGGAUUGGGUUUGAUGAAGACUUUCCUGGCAGGCAACUUAGGUUUUAGCUUGGCAUCUGACUGGAAUUCUUUCUGAAUACAUUAGCAGAAGAGCUAAUAGGUUGGGCAAAGUUGGUAGGAGAUGGAAGAGAGACUGUUCCUUUCCUUUGUUCCUGCUUGUUCUUUGGUGUUUGAGAUGUUUUCAGUGGGUGUGGUGAUGGUGGUGUGAUAGAUGAUGUAAUAGGAGAGUAGCAGAGGCCAUGCAAUGCUAAUUAGAUGUGAAAAUAUCUGGAGCAGUUUUUUGAGGGCACAAUGAUCAUUAAGUAAUUUCAGUUUUUAAUGUACAUAAUUGUGAGAUAUCCAGUUUGUAUUAGUCCAUUCUCACACUGCUAUGAAGAAAUAACCAAGACUGGGUAAUUUAUAAAGAAAAGAGGUUUAAUUGACUCAGUUCCACUUGGCUUAGAAGGCCUCAGGAAACAAUCAUGGUGGAAGGCACCUCUUCACAGGGAGGCAGGAGAGAGAAUGAGUAUUAGCAUGGGAAAUGCCAGAUGCUUAUAAAACAGUCAGAUCUCAUGAGACUCACUUAUUGUCAUGAGAACAGCAUGGGGGAAAUCACCCCUAUGAUCCAAUUAUUUCCACCUCGUCCGGACCUUGACACGUGGGGAUUAUUACAAUUUCAGGUGAGAUUUGGGUGGGGACACAGAGCCAAACCAUAUCACAGUUUUUCCAGCAAUUUGCUCAAAUGUUAUCAUUUCUAAGUACUUCCUGACAGCAUCCCUCUUCGCCAUUCCCACAAGUUGGUCAUAUCCCUCCAUAUAGCUGCAUUAUGCUAAAUAAAAACAUCUACAAUAACAAUAUAAUAUCAAAUUAAUGAAUUAUGCAAUUCAUUUAUUAACUUGCCAAAAGUGAAUUGAGCAUCUGCUUUGUGUCAGAUACUGCAAAAGACGUAGGAGUAUCAUCAUGCAUUAGACACAAGUAUCUCACAGCCUGGUAGAGGAGACUCAGAAGUAAAUCAACAAGUGCAGGGAAGUGUGUUGGGUCUUAUGACUGAAGUAUGUAUGAAGUGAAUUGAGGGUUAGUGUCUAAAGGGUGGAUUAAGUAUGCACAGAGUGGAUUAAAUGUUUGAUGUCUAAAUUACACUGCAAGUAGUUCCUGGAAAAGCCUCCUGGAAGUGAUGACCCCUGAUACAAUUGAAGUUAAGUCCAUAAGGAGAAUUGGGAGAUGACCAGGAAGAGGGUUGCCAUUUUAGGCAGGGGGAAUAGCACAGUCAGAGACAUGGAGGUGGGAAAGAGCAAGAUGCAUUUCUAAAGCUAUGACAUAAUUUGGGGAUGAGUGCAGGGGAGGCGGCACUUUGUAACAAUUAGGUUUUUCCUUUCUGUCUUUUCUUGAUAGUUUUUGGGUUCUUGGAUCAUGCUUAUAUAUCUUUAUAUCCCAGAAUGUGGAAUGUCAAGAACUUCAGCUAAUUUUUGUUGAAUGAAUGAGAGUUGGCUAAUAUCAAAUCACCUACACACAUGCUGGUCUCAACUCUCAGAGCUGCUGGUCUGAUGUCCAGUCCUGUGGGCUCUCAAGCUAGAAUGGAUAUGAAUUUCUUCAGUUAUGAAACAGCUGCAAGUUUCUUUGCAAACAACAAGAAAAGAAGCA